GCAACCUGGAAACAGCCCGGUAGCCAGGGCUAACCAUGCCCGUUCUCCAGGACAAUAAGGAGGGAUUAUUUGCCCUUUGGAAAUUUCCAAAUUUCUGCCAGUCGGCUGUUUAGGAAAAAAGAGAGGAUAAGGGACUUCAUUCAACCAAUCAACACACAGAGGUAGAGAAGAGCAGAACAUACCAAAUACGUGUUCCCCCC